AUUACUGAAAGAAGAAAUGUGGGGAAGAAGGCACCAUGGAAUGUCCAAGAAAGCAAACAGACUGGAUUUCUACCUAUAGUGAGAAUCCAAGGAGCCCAUGGAGUUCCUGUAGAAAGACCCCCCAGGAUGAGAAAGAAUCUCUGAUACAAAGUGGAACACAUUUGCCAUAUGGAUUAUCUCUGUCGGAGGCAUGAUAUUUAGGUCAAGAUGAUUAUAUACCCUGACUAUCAUACAUACAGUACAGCAAUUUAAUGUAUGGAGAACUGAAGACUCUAGGGAACAGGGACUUUUGCCUAUUGUCAAUAGGCAUGGAUUACAAUUGGACCUCUGAGAAUAAUAGGUUCCAUGUGUCAGUCAAUCUAUGAUCUUGAGUGCAACCAAGGAUUGGCGACUUCUCUUGUGCUUCUUUCAUGGAGAUGAAUCCAUAAACCGGUAAGUUUGUCUUAUACUCCAAAGGAUGUAAGCCACAGCCAAUCUUAAGGCCCAGGCACAUUUAGAGAAACACUCCAGUGAGCACAUUCAUUGUCCAAGUCAAGUUGCUGUUUCUCACAGAG
rnacentral:lncRNA from 1 species